GCGGAAGUGGGCGUUGCUACAUUGUGCAAAAGAUCUACAGAACUCAUAGGAGCUGGCAAGGUGGAAAAUUCCCUAAAAUAAGCAAAAUCAAUGACGAGACCUGCUGCCCGUCUCUGCCUGACUGAAGAUAGCAAUGGAGCUCCGCCAGGUCUUUUUUUUAACAUGGCGGGUGGGGACGCGGAAAGGUACUGCGUCAAAGUGAGAGAUAUGUCAUGUGGGGAAACAGCCUUUUUCACCCGAUUUAUCCAUCUUAUAACCUCUAAAAUGUAAAUAAAACACUAUAUAAAGAGUUAAUCUCUCAUUACAUACCUAUUUAAAGGUUUGUGUCGAAUUUGAAGUGUUAAGGUGGGGCAAAAUUACUUCACAAGUUAACUGCGGCUGUCACGGUUUUUCAGUCAUGAUGGUGCGAAAAAUGAACAAUUGAUUGAAUUAACUUCACACUCACCAUUGAUCAUUUCUUGUUUUUCAUCUGCGAGAGAGGCGCUCCUCCUGACAGAAAGAGGCUGUAAGGCCCUCCAUUCCCAAACCUGAAGCCCCCUGUCCCCAGCAGGAAAGACCAGGAAAAAAUGUUGGCUUAAGAUCUGCCAACCAGGCUCGGUGUGUGACAGGUAACAAUGUUUCAACCAAGCUGUUCCAGGCCUGGAGUGGCACGCUGGAACUUCCAGAGGCUUGUAGACCUGAAGCAGUGUGAUGUGGUCCAGAGCUGACAUCCCUAUUAGCUCAACCACAGUCCUCACAGCUGAAGUCGUCUGCCCCGGCACCUGCUACACCGGCCACGACAGGUGAUACAGAUCUGCCACCCCCAGCAGUUCAGCUGCAGUCACAGCAGUCCUCUGCUGUGGUCUUUCAUUUACCGGCUGCACCAGUUCCUACUACACUGGCUGUGAAGGGAGAAACUUUUGAGGAUUCCCAGAUGGAUACAGAUCUGCCAUGCACUCCACCACUGCCUGACAGCCUCAUCUCUGAGAAAGCAGAGAUGGGUGGCUGACAAGGAAAAAUAAAACACAACACACACUCUCUCUCUGUCACACACACUCACACACAUUAUCCCCAGUGUAAAUUAGUUGUAAUUACUUGUUUAUUUUAUGUUUGCUCAAUUUUAUUUUAGGAUUUGAGAUAUCUACUCCUACAUAUCCAUUCUCAAUAUCUACACAAUUACUCUAAAUAUCUAUCAAAUCAAUGUGUUAUUGAUAUUGUAAAAGACUUGCUUAAUUUGUACAGUUUGAGGAAAUUCUGUGUGCUUUUUAAAAACAUGCCUUCCUCUCACACAUUAGACCCAAUGUAAAUACAUUGUUUAUUUUAUGUA